rnacentral:lncRNA from 1 species
GUCCUAAUUAUAAAGCUUUAUUACAACUGUCACACAAACUUAACAUUAACCAAGUAAACUAAACAUUGACCAAUGAAACAUGAAAAUGAGGUUAAGGUCAGAUGAACUGUUUAAGGUAGUCAUGUACAGCAAACAAAUCUUCCAUACAACAAAUAUAGUUGACCUAUUGCUCAUAGUUUAAGAAAACACAAAACAAAAACUUAACAUUGAGCAGUGAACUGUGAAAAUGAGGUCAAGGUCAAAUAAAACCUGUGUGACUGACAUAUAGAUCAUAAAAUAUUUCCAUAUACCAAAUAUAGUUGAACAAUUGCAUAUAGUAUUAGAAAAAAAGAC